rnacentral:tRNA from 1 species
GUUAUAGUAGUUUAUAAAAACAUUGGUCUUGUAAACCAAAAUUGAGUAUUUUACUCCUAAAACU